rnacentral:rRNA from 2 species
GUACAGAACGACUCUCGGCAACGGAUAUCUCGGCUCUUGCAUCGAUGAAGAACGUAGCGAAAUGCGAUACUUGGUGUGAAUUGCAGAAUCCCGUGAACCAUCGAGUCUUUGAACGCAAGUUGCGCCCGAAGCCCUUAGGCCGAGGGCACGCCUGCCUGGGUGUCACCAA